UACGGAGGGAGCUAGCGUUGUUCGGAAUUACUGGGCGUAAAGCGCACGUAGGCGGCUUUUUAAGUCAGGGGUGAAAUCCCGGGGCUCAACCCCGGAACUGCCCUUGAAACUGGAGAGCUAGAAUCUUGGAGAGGCGAGUGGAAUUCCGAGUGUAGAGGUGAAAUUCGUAGAUAUUCGGAAGAACACCAGUGGCGAAGGCGACUCGCUGGACAAGUAUUGACGCUGAGGUGCGAAAAGCGUGGGGGAGCAAACAGG
rnacentral:rRNA from 1 species